rnacentral:tRNA from 1 species
ACCUGGCUGGCUCAGUGAACGGAGCGUGCGACUCUUGAUCUCGGGGUUGUGGGUUCAAGCCCCACGUUGGGUG